CUAAUCCCUAAGGUAGCACACGUUCAAAUCAAUUUGUGACCCCAGGCCGUAUCAACGUUCAAUGUAAAGGUCGAACAAUAAACACCAAUAUAAAAAUAAAUGCUUUCCCAUUAAAGUGUGUUUCAGUAAGUCUAAGUACAAUAUUAAACUUAAGUAAAGUUAAGUUAUAACUGACAGUUAAAUGAUGUGUAAAACAAUAUAUUAACUCAUAAAAGGUUGACCUUGUAAAAAAAAUUUGGUUAUUUUUAUAAAAAAUUGAUAAAACAAAACUGUAAUUAUUAAAAGUUGAGUGUUUAAGUUAAACAGACAAUAACAAUGUCUCAGCAAAAUUGUUUAAAAACAAUCACCAACUGUUCAAUAUUUAAUUGUUCAAUAAUUAACUAAAUAAAAUUCCAGCAGAAGGUUUUCCUUUGAAUAACGUUUGGAAUAAGAGGUUAUACAAAUU